GGAUGAACGCUGGCGGCGUGCCUAAUACAUGCAAGUCGAGCGAACGGACGAGAAGCUUGCUUCUCUGAUGUUAGCGGCGGACGGGUGAGUAACACGUGGAUAACCUACCUAUAAGACUGGGAUAACUUCGGGAAACCGGAGCUAAUACCGGAUGAUAUUUUGAACCGCAUGGCUCAAAAGUGAAAGACGGUCUUGCUGUCACUUAUAGAUGGAUCCGCGCUGCAUUAGCUAGUUGGUAAGGUAACGGCUUACCAAGGCAACGAUGCAUAGCCGACCUGAGAGGGUGAUCGGCCACACUGGAACUGAGACACGGUCCAGACUCCUACGGGAGGCAGCAGUAGGGAAUCUUCCGCAAUGAGCGAAAGCCUGACGGAGCAACGCCGCGUGAGUGAUGAAGGUCUUCGGAUCGUAAAACUCUGUUAUUAGGGAAGAACAUAUGUGUAAGUAACUGUGCACAUCUUGACGGUACCUAAUCAGAAAGCCACGGCUAACUACGUG
rnacentral:rRNA from 1 species